CUUCUACUCAGUCUCUUCAGAAGCUGAAAUGCUCCCGGUUCCCUACCUGUCUCUGCUCAGGCCCCAGGUGAUACCCCUUUAAAUAGUAUGAGGCGGAACUCCCAUCCAUCACCAGGAGGGUGUCCUCCCUCAAAGAGCUGCCAGCCAAUCGGAGGCCGGCAGGUCUGCAAACCAGCAGCACCAACCAGGAGCAGUGGCUACUGACAGUACUGCAUGUAGGCAACGGGAGUGGUCUUCAGCGAUGGACCUGGAUAUUCGGAUUGUAACUUUCCUGGUUCAUGAAUAGUCCAUCAAUACAUGAAGGCAGUUUCGAUGGGGAAGACCUUGGUUAUAUCAGGUGCAGGGCUCCCUUUUUAAAAAACGGAAAAAGAUCCAGCUGUGCAUGUGCGCAGGGCCGUUUACUGGCUUCAAAGCGUGAAUCCCGACCAACUGCACACGUGAGGCCAUUCUUCAGCCCGCACAUUGGCAGCACCUGAAAUCGUCAAAAAAAGAACAAACUGCUCAUGUGCAGCAGUUCCAGGUUCGGCGCAUGCGCAGGAACCACUGUGGCCCAUUGGGAAUUGUAGUUCCCAACUCGGCGGGCCCAACCUUCACUUUUUAAAGAUUUCUGGUUGCACUGACCCACCACUCCCUUACUAUGCGGUCAAGCAAGAUCCACUUUGGCUUUGAGAAUUCUCCAUUGGUAGAAGCCAUCCUUUAUUUCAGGAUUUUUCCAUCCUUCUGCUUCAAGGAUGUUUCCAAGCGUGAUACAAAGGCCCUAAACAUUGAUUAUCCUAACUUGGAAUCAUUAGUUGAUGACAGAGGAAAAUAGCGACACCUCCUGUGAGCUGACACACACCACCACAAGGACCAGUGGCUACAGCGGCUUGUCAACCGGUUCCAACACCAAAAACAACCACCCACAAUGACACUUGGAGGUGUCAUGUCUGGCACUUGUGGCAGAACCUGUCUCUCAAGGAUCGGCCUCUUCAGCCGAUGCCGUAUGAAGACACCCCAUCUGAAAUGGAUUGUUUGCUGCAUGUCCAUCAUCUUUCAUAGAUGGAAGGAUGCCAACGAUUACAUGGACUUGGAUGGGUCUCCCUCACCCCUGCUGCUCCCAACAGCCAGACGAUCAUCACCCAGACCACACAACCGGGGUCAGAACCCUCCACACAAUCAAGAAGUAAACGUCUUCCAUAAGCUGCAAAGGUCAUUCAGUUCUCAAUUAGUUAAAAACUAGUAAGGAUCUUUUUGUAAACAGUAUGAACGUAGAGGAAAAUAGAAGGAAUGCUGGUCUGGAGCAGACUAAAUUUAAUACAGUUGCUUUUCUAAUGUUCUUUAAAAUAUUGAUCAAGUAGAGAGACUGGGUAGAUGAAGGUAUUGCUAUUUAUUAUUUAUGCAUAUGCAUCUCUCUAUGAUUUCUCUGGAAAAUACACAACACAUAAAUUGAUCUUUUGCUCCUUUUUUUUAAUUGCAUUGCUGUCUUUCCACUUUUAUAUGCACUUUACAGUUAAUUAUCUCCGUUUCUGCUUGCCCGAUUAUUAUUACCCUGUACAAGGUUAUACUAUCUGUUAUCAAUCUGAUCCUAAGAAUGCUUCUAUGCUAUAGGGCAUGUUUAGAGAAUUGGUGAGUGGAUGUAAGUUAUACUGCUGACUCUGUGUUGUUCUCUAAUCCAGUGACAGAGCUUUGCUCAUCAGUUGCUUUAUUACUAACCCCAGCCCAGAUAAACAAUUUUCCAUAGUAUUGAUGAAGUGUCACUAAUAUCCAGAGUAAUCAUCAUUAGGGCUGUUCUGUGCGCAAAUGAUAAUUUGGCAUCCAAAUGUCAGGCUCAUGGGGAGUAGUUGGGCUGAAUUUGCGCUGUGGUUUAUGUAUUUCUAUGUAUGUUGGAAUUUUAACAAAAAAUUAACAGAACAGUCAACUCCCUGUUAACAUGAAGAUAAAUGGUGGGCAUUUUUUCAA